GUGUUGUGUGAAAGAGAUAAGGUUAAAACUCCCCUUUACAAGGAUAGAAGAGGUCCCAGUGGCCUUUAUAACACAUAUACGGUUGAGGCACUGCCAUCUACUCUGUGGCAUCUCUAACCUAGUUUUUAA